rnacentral:SRP_RNA from 1 species
GCCGGGCAUGGUGGCGCAUGCCUGUAAUCCCAGCUACUCGGGAGGCUGAGACAGGAGAAUCGCUUGAACCCGGGAGGUGGAGGUUGCAGUGAGCCGAGAUCGCGCCACUGCACUCCAGCCUGGGCAACAAGAGCGAAACUCUGUCUCAA